AUGGCAAGUCGAARCGCGCAAAGUCCUUCGGGGCGAGUAGAGUGGCGGACGGGUGAGUAAUGCGUGGGAAUCUACCUCGUAGUGGGGGACAACCCGGGGAAACUCGGGCUAAUACCGCAUACGUUCUAUGGAAGAAAGGGGGCCUCUGCUUGCAAGCUCUCGCUAUGGGAUGAGCCCACGUCCGAUUAGCUAGCUGGUGGGGUAAGGGCCUACCAAGGCGACGAUCGGUAGCUGGUCUGAAAGGAUGACCUGCCACACUGGGACUGAGACACGGCCCAGACUCCUACGGGGGGCAGCAGUGAGGAAUAUUGGGCAAUGGGCGCAAGCCUGACCCAGCAACGCCGCGUGAAGGAUGAAGGCCCUUGGGUUGUAAACUUCUUUUGCAGGGGAAGAGAGCGGACGGUACCCUGAGAAUAAGUCACGGCUAACUACGUGCCAGCAGCCGCGGUAAUACGUAGGUGACAAGCGUUAUCCGGAAUUACUGGGCGUAAAGCGCACGCAGGCGGCUGAGAAAGUCUGACGUGAAAUCUCCCGGCUUAACCGGGAGCGGUCGUUGGAAACUACUUGGCUUGAGGCGAUGAGAGGGGUGUGGAAUUCCCGGUGUAGUGGGUGGAAUGCGUAGAUAUCGGGAGGAACAUCAGUGGCGAAAMGCGGCACCCUGGCAUUAGCCUGACGCUCAGGUGCGAAAGCGUGGGGAGCGAACGGGGAUUAGAUACCCKGGUAGUCCACGCCGUAAACGAUGAACACUAGGUGUGGGUGGUCUCAAAAUCAUCUGUGCCGAAGUAAACGCGAUAAAGUGUUCCGYCCUGGGGGAGUACCGGCCCGCAAGGYCUAAAAACCUCAARGGAAWUUGACGG
rnacentral:rRNA from 1 species